rnacentral:rRNA from 1 species
GGUCCGGGCGUUAUCCGGAUUUAUUGGGUUUAAAGGGAGCGUAGGCCGCCGAUUAAGCGUGUUGUGAAAUGCCGUGGCUCAACCAUGGCACUGCAGCGCGAACUGGUUGGCUUGAGUGCGUGGAAGGCAGGCGGAAUUCGUGGUGUAGCGGUGAAAUGCUUAGAUAUCACGAAGAACCCCGAUUGCGAAGGCAGCUCACUGGAGCGCAACUGGCGCUGAAGCUCGAAAGUGCGGGUAUC